UUGUUUUUCUUGUGUUUGUUUACUUUCAGUAAUAUUUUUGGAAGUGAUAAUUGGUGUCGUACACUAGGUGGUAUGUGCUUUCCCUCUUCAAAACGUAUAAAGUUAAGAUUGACUGUUAUGGUAAUGGUAGUGCUAUCGAUGAGAGACGACAAUAACGAAAUGGUGGGAGAUAUCGAUGGGUGAUGAGGAUACCGAUGGGUAACGACGAUAAUUAAACGAUGGACGAUGAUGAUGUAAUAAUGACACAGACCAAGCCAAACUAUUAUGUGUACUGUGUGGUAGAUAGACGAUUCUGCAGUCCGACAGAGAGGGAUAUAUCUUCUAAGUGCCCAUGGUUAAUGGAAUCCUGGAAUAAUUUUGAAAUAACCACCUCCUGAGUAGGGUAAUAAUAGUUCAACAAUGACAGUACUCUUUAUGGAAGUAAUAAUAUUGAUGUCGUACAAAAGGUGGUAUGCGCCUUUCCUCUUCAAAACGUAUAAAGUUAAGAUUGGCUGUUAUGGUAAUGGUAGUGGUAUCGAUGAGAGACGACAAUAACGAAAUGUUGGUGAUGGCGAUAUCGAUGGAUACGACGAUAAUGAAACAUGGACGAUGAUGUUGUUUUAAUGAUACAGUCCAAGCCAGGCGAUUAUGUGUACUUUUUAAUUCAUAGUACUUUAAACUUUAAUAAUAUUUAUGGUGUAUGCGGUGUUCUUUAAAGUUCGAAUUUCGUGAAAAUCGGCCCAAAUAGUUGUGUUGGUAAGCAACACCAGAAAUGUCUACCUCAAUUUACCCCAAAUAAACCUUUUAUAAUUUUCAAAACCAUGGAGCAAUUACAACAUUAAAUCUUUAUUUUCUUUUUAUCCGCUCACAAUUUUAUGUGGACGUAUUAUGCCGUCGCCCCUGUCCGUCCGCCAGUCCACAAUUUGUUUUUGGACCCUCUACAGGUCACAAUUUUUAUCCGAUUUUGACGAAACUUGAAAUAUAGGUCUAUCUCCCAAAAGAUAUUGGUUCCUUUCGAUAUUGGCAUGUAUCGGACCAUAACUUCAUGGAUUAUGACCCUGAUUGUAUGAAAAAUCACGUUUUUAGCUUGUACACCCUCGAGAGAUCACAAUUAUCUAUUUUAAAUAAAAAAAAGUUUAAAUUUAUCACGGUUGUACGCAAAUUGUGAAAAAGUGUGUAAUGCGAAGGUUGUGGACCCUCCAGAGUUCACAAUUUUCGCCCAGAAGAGAUGUAGUCGACGUCAUGGUUGGUGAUAAUGUUGAUUUGUGAGGGUUUGUGCUUUGUAUUACUUCUGAGAGAUUUCUAGAGACAUCUGUCCUAUCUCUUAUACAGCUGCGUCUAUAGCGUGUACGGCCGGUGUUCCUUCAUUCUUCAUAUACUCGUCAUUAUUUGCCUCUAGUGUAUCUCUUGAAGGUCUGGAGAUCAACAUGUCAAAAAUGGUCCUUUGGAUAAUUGAGUUAGACUUAAAACCAAUAAUCAAUAUCCCAAGGGAAAAGGUACUACAGAAUAAAUGGUUGGUGACAAUGUUGAUCUAUUAGGUUUGUGAUUUGGUUUUACUUCUGAGAGAUUUUCUGGAGACCAAGUCUAUCCUUUCUCUGUACAACCGUUUGUUCGGGAUCCGCAAUAACGCUUUUAUCUCCAUUCACGUUACACUAACAACCUUUGUCUCCAAAUAUCUUAAAGAAGGAUAGUUGUAGGUUUUGAAGAUCAACAUUUGUUAAGAUGUAUUCAACUGUUUUAGUACAGAACAAGAAAACAUAAGGGCGAUAACUCUCUGAAGCAAAGUGGAAUGAUACAAGAAUACGGUUGACAAUUAAUGCCAAUUAAUACACAGAUGGUUUUCACCAGGAAAGUUGAUUCAAACACAGAACAAGCUAUCUGGGAAGUGGCAAUAAAGUCUUACAUCGCUUUUACCAAUAUACAUAUUAGAAACAUAUAGAACUGUUCCGUCUUGUGGCCAAAGUAGAAAUCUCUGUUAAAAGUGAAUUUAUAUCUGAAUCAAAUCCCACUUCUUGUAUUACGUAGAAUGAAUGGGGUUUUACGUCUUAACAUUACUCGGGUCAUUUUGAAAUUAACAUUCGGUUAUCUAUAUUUACUAUGGUUACAUGUGGAAUCCGAGAUGGGGGAAUUUUGCCUGGGAGGCGGUUUUCCUACUACUCUUCUUCAAAUUCCAACUGUCGAGGGCUCUCCUGCUGGCACGUCAAUGUGUACACGCGUGGGUCACGAUUUUUUGUCUCAUUCGAAUGACUAGACACACACCUCUUCAGUUCCGUAGACAUCACCCCCAACAAAUGGAGACCAAGCUUGAAGGAGCCCAAAGGUUACUCUCGGAGAUUCGAAUCCAAGGCAUUCUAAUAACGAGUACAGUUCUCUAACUGUUGGACCCCUAUAUUAUUCUAAUUUCUCUAAGAUAUGUUAUUAUACAUUUAUCUAGAUUUUUUUUUAUCCUGAUCAAAUUAUUUAUAACAACCUUGUUAUUGCCGAAAUAUCAUGUUUUUUUAAUGCAGUGGUAGAUAAUUUUGUCCAUUUAAGAUCUACGUUGUUAUUGUACUUUUAAUAUUUACACGUAAACUCGUUGUCUCUGAUAUUAGUUGAAUGUUGGGUGCCACACGGACGUUAGUAGAAGCAUGACCAUUUUCAUUGUCGGAUACCAUGAAUUUGUUUAAUAAAAUCGACAAUUUUACUUUCCUAAAUGAAAGAUCUGGUCGUUAAUGAAAUAAUUUGAGAAAUGUUGUGGAUUUAGGAAUUUUCCCCAUCUCUAAUACUUAUUUGUUUGUAAGAGGUGUCA